rnacentral:rRNA from 1 species
UACGAAGCGUGCGAACGUUGUUCGGAAUCACUGGGCUUAAAGGGCGCGUAGGCGGGCUGCCAAGUCUGGGGUGAAAUCCCACGGCUCAACCGUGGAACUGCCUCGGAUACUGGCGGCCUCGAGGGAGGUAGGGGCGUGCGGAACUGUGGGUGGAGCGGUGAAAUGCGUUGAUAUCCACAGGAACUCCGGUGGCGAAGGCGGCACGCUGGACCUUUUCUGACGCUGAGGCGCGAAAGCCAGGGGAGCAAACGGG